ACGCUCGACACCUACGGGAGUCAGCAGUAGGGAAUCUUCCACAAUGGGCGCAAGCCUGAUGGAGCAACACCGCGUGAGUGAAGAAGGGUUUCGGCUCGUAAAGCUCUGUUGUUGGAGAAGAACGUGCGUGAGAGUAACUGUUCACGCAGUGACGGUAUCCAACCAGAAAGUCACGGCUAACUACGUGCUAGCAGCCGCGGUAAUCUGAGCGGGCUGGCAAGGC
rnacentral:rRNA from 1 species